rnacentral:tRNA from 1 species
UAGUCUAGCGGUUAGAACGCUGGCCUUGUAAUCCUGGGGUCCCGGGUUCGAUUCCCGG